rnacentral:rRNA from 1 species
UUGACCUCGGAUCAGGUAGGAAUACCCGCUGAACUUAAGCAUAUCAAUAAGCGGAGGAAAGGGC